CCGUAGAGUCAAUGUGUGUCUAAAGCCCGAUUAACUGUAUUGUGGUGCACAUGGAAUAUUUAGUCUCUGGAUAUUAUUUAUGUUGAGACAGGAGCAGUCUUGGGGGACUGGAGAUGCAUUAAACCCCACACAAUUAACAGACAAUCUUUUCCUUCCAGAGAGGCCCUGUGUUGCUGUCUGGGCUCCGGUGGCCCUGGGCAAGAAUUUCUGACAUGACAUGGGAAAAGCUGAAGAAGUCAGUCUUUGGGGUGUGUUUUCAUCUAGGAGGUGGCUUGAGAUGGAUUCAUGGCAAAUCACAAUAAAUUAUUUAUCAGAUAAUAA
rnacentral:lncRNA from 1 species